UGAGGAAUUUUGGACAAUGGGGGAAACCCUGAUCCAGCGACGCCGCGUGGAGGACGAAGGUCUUCGGAUUGUAAACUCCUUUUGUUCGGGAAUAAGAAAUCUGCAGAAAUGCGGAGAGUGAAUGUACCGGAUGAAUAAGCCACGGCUAACUUCGUGCCAGCAGCCGCGGUAAUACGAAGGUGGCAAGCGUUACUCGGAAUUACUAGGCGUAAAGGGCAGGUAGGUGGUUUGAUAAGUCUGUCGUGUCAAUUCUCGGCUUAACCGGGAGAGGUCGACAGAUACUGUUAGACUUGAGUGUAGGAGAGGGUACUGGAAUUCCCGGUGUAGCGGUGAAAUGCGCAGAGAUCGGGAGGAACACCAAUGGCGAAAGCAGGUACCUGGACUAUUACUGACACUAAGCUGCGAAAGCUAGGGGAGCAAACAGGAUUAGAUACCCAGGUAGUCCCUGAGCGGGCUGGCAAGGCGCAU
rnacentral:rRNA from 1 species